rnacentral:rRNA from 1 species
AGAAUCAACGCUGGCGGCGUGCCUAACACAUGCAAGUCGUACGCGAAAGGGGAGCAAUCCCUGAAUAGAGUGGCAAACGGGUGAGUAACACGUGGGUGACCUGCCUCAGAGUGGGGGAUAACGUCCCGAAAGGGACGCUAAUACCGCAUAACAUCCUGCCCUUAAAAGGGUGGAGAUCAAAGCCGGAGAUCGCAAGACCUGGCGCUUGGAGAGGGGCCCGCGUCUGAUUAGCUAGUUGGUAGGGUAAUGGCCUACCAAGGCGACGAUCA